CAGUCAUUCCAUUAGUUUAAUACUGAGUUGUUCAGAAACUUCUCAGUCAGUAACAUGAAGAUCCAUUCCUGAAAAGCACUCAAACUGGAUUGUUUUCAAAUGCAACUGUUAUUGAAUCUUCAUGAACAUCCUUUACAAAUGCCUUGUAGAAAGCGCCAUUGGAGCCCCGCACUUCCACCACCAGCUCCUCCAUCUUCUCUUCAGCCCUGCUAGCGCCGGGAGCCCGCCCCCGAGAGGUGGGCUGCGGGCGCUCGAGGCCCAGCCGCCGCCGCCGCCGCCGCCGCCGCCGCCUCCGCCGCCGCCGCCGCCGCCGCCGCCGCCGCGCUGCCGCACGCCCCCUGGCAGCGGCGCCUCCGUCACCGCCGCCGCCCGCGCUCGCCGUCGGCCCGCCGCCCGCUCAGAGGCGGCCCUCCACCGGAAGUGAAACCGAAACGGAGCUGAGCGCCUGACUGAGGCCGAACCCCCGGCCCGCUGCGGGUGUAAACACUGAAACCACGUCACGUGAUCAACGCUGUUCCCUCCCCCCGCGGGCUCAGCCCCUCGGCCCCGCCCUCUCUCUUCAAGUGGCCUGGGAGCGCGCGCAUGCGCGCUGCUGGGAACCGGCCGGGGUGCCGGGUCGAAAGACAGACGCGCGGGCCGGGCGUGCGCGGGCUUGGUGGAGGGCGGGAAGGCUGAAGGGCGGUGACAGGUCGCACUGCCUCGCGAGGGCCAGAACGCCCAUUUCUGCAGAGGUGCACUCAGUGGCGUGGGAAAUCAAAUGCAUCCGGUUAUCCCAGUUCGGCCUCUCUGGGAUUCCGCGGGAGGGGGUGUCUGGUCUGGUUUGGUUUGGUUUGGUUUGGUUUGGUUUGGUCCGGUUCAAAGUAGCGCAGUCUGACUGAGCGGGAGGUGGAGUGGAAGGCGAGAAUAGGGGUGAAGGAUUAGACAGAAGAAGACUUUGAACUAGGAACAGUGGCAACCAGGGUGACCCAGGCUUUUGUGACCCGUAGAGGCAGAAGGUGAGGCGUCUACGCCCUCUCUCACCAGAUUUUGGGCGGCCCUGUGGAGACACCCUGUGCCCUUUAAGGGACAUGGAUUGAGUCGGGAUCUCAAAAUGUGAGCCUUUCCUCAGACCCAGCUUUGACCCACGUACUCGCCUUUCCUCAACUCAUUUUCAUACUUUCACUUGACUAUAUAUUUUUUAAAAAUUGUGUUAAGCACUUGAGGUUCAUUUCUGCCCCUACUGUAUGUGCACCCUGUGCCAGAGGGUGGGGUGAACACGUGUGUAGCAGUCAUGCGUCCUGUCCACAGGGGCCGAUGCACCUCCUUGCAACCCUUUACAUUCCACUGUGAAACAAACCUCAACUUUUUCUUAUUCCUGUUUUUACACCGUGCUUAUAGCUGCCUUAAUCCAUGUUCCCUUCGGGAUGCUGGUAUCCAACUGAGAAGUUGACGGAGCAUCUAUCGUGUGCCAGACACUGUGCUAAGUGCUAACGAGAAAUCGGUGAGCAAAACAGAAAAGAAAAAAAAAGAAGAAACGACUGCCAGCAUUGAACUUAGUACCUAGCAAAGUAGGUGGACAUAAAUCAAAUUGUCAGACAAGUAAAUGAGUAGUUGCAGCUGUGAUAAGGGGUAUGAAGAAUAGGCGCUUCCAUGAUGGCGGAACAUGACCUAGUCUGGGGUGGAGAAGGGGAGAUGAUUCCAGCUGGAAUAUGGCAGGUGAGAGUUAACUAAUAGCACUGAGUUGGCAGAGGCAGGAUGACCUGCCCCAGGCAGGUGCCCCAGAAUGAGAGGAUGUUGCUGCUGGUGGAACUCCAGCUUUAAAGCGGUGGAUCUAGGGCCACAUUCCUCAAGGCCAUAGCAAACAGGAAAGACCUUUUGGACUAGGGUCUUUGGAGUAGUCACAUGAGGCCAAGAACCCAAUAGGGCUGAAAGAGAAUCUCAUCAUAGGCUGAAUGGGAGCAGAGCAUUAGCUGCAACUCCAAUGUAUUAUAGUAAAAGGGGACACAUUGAUUAGAAUGAUUAUACCCCUCCAAGUGUAAGCUGUUGUUCAAUUUACCCAGGGCUUAAAAAUAUGUCAACUCUUCACAACCAUUUUUACUACAAGCCACACUCAACCUGUGUUGUUCCCUGAACCUGUGAUGCACUUUCAUCCGUUCAUGUCUCUACACAUCCUUCCUGGGCCCCAUAGAGGCCCUGCACCUUAAGGUUUUCAGCUGGAUUCCUAUUAGCUAGUUAUUUUAUCUCAGGUACAGAGAGUUAACUUUGCUCCUCAAUUUUCAGCACAUUGUCAUAUCAGUCCCUACAGGGUCCUUGUUUACAUUAUUUUAUAGUGUUUAUAUUAUUUUUUCCUCAUCUUUCUCGAUCCCCACUCUCAUUCUUCUAGACACAAGCUGCAAUAUGUUCGAUAGAGAUCCUUGAUAAUUUAACACAGAUAAUGUUUUGUUUAUGCCUCUUGCAUUUACAGAGAUGGUAUUGGACUGUAAAUCUCUAUUUCCCACUGUUUUACUCAACAGUCUGUUUUUGAGCUAUACCCACAUUGCUGUGUGUACACCUAGUUUGCUACCGAGUAUGCCAGAAAUUUUAUUCAUACAUAUCCCUACUGAUCGGGCAUCUAGGUUACUGCCAACUCCCUGAAGUCAUACUGUGGUGAAAACCCUUGUGAAUGUCUUUACAAACCUUUGCCAGAACUUAUUUUGUGCUCUUGUAGAACUUUGUGCAUACCCUCUGCUUCCUCAUUACACUGCUUGGCAUAUAGCAGAGACUCAACAAAUGUUGAAUACCUCUACUAUGAUGGUUAGUGUACUAGAAUAAUUUAUUUAUAUUUCUGUUUUCCUUAUUGGAUUAUUAGUACCUUCCAGACAGGGCAAAUGUCUUUUCUAUCUUUGUGUCCCUGGCACAUUAAAAGUGGUUGAUUUCAAGGUAUGUUCAAUGAAUGAAUAAAUACUUAUCUUCACUGCCAGUAC
rnacentral:lncRNA from 1 species